rnacentral:rRNA from 1 species
CCCUUAGAUGUUCUGGGCUGCACGCGCGCUACACUGACGCACGCAACAGGUGCCUGCUCCGAGAGGACUGGGUAAUCAUUUGAGUGUGCGUCGUGAUGGGGAUAGAAUAUUGUAAUUAUUACUCUUCAACGAGGAAUUCCUAGUAAGCGCCAGUCAGCAGCUUGCGCUGAUUACGUCCCUGCCCUUUGUACACACCGCCCGUCGCUACUACCGAUUGGAUGGUUUAGCGAGAACUUUGGACCGGAGCUCGGGUGGUCAGCAAUGGUCGCCCGAGAUGUCUGGGAAAUCGUUCCAGCUUGAUCAUCUAGAGGAAGUAAAAGUCGUAACA